rnacentral:rRNA from 1 species
AAGGCGACGAUCAGUAGGGGUUCUGAGAGGAAGGUCCCCCACAUUGGAACUGAGACACGGUCCAAGCUCCUACGGGAGGCAGCAGUGAGGAAUAUUGGUCAAUGGGCGUGAGCCUGAACCAGCCAAGUAGCGUGCAGGAUGACGGCCCUAUGGGUUGUAAACUGCUUUUAUAGGGGAAUAAGUGAGCCACGUGUGGUUUUUUGCAUGUACCCUAUGAAUAAGGACCGGCUAAUUCCGUGCCAGCAGCCGCGGUAAUACGGAAGGUCCGGGCGUUAUCCGGAUUUAUUGGGUUUAAAGGGAGCGUAGGCCGGAGGUUAAGCGUGUUGUGAAAUGUAGAUGCUCAACAUCUGCACUGCAGCGCGAACUGGUUUCCUUGAGUACGCAUAAAGUGGGCGGAAUUCGUGGUGUAGCGGUGAAAUGCUUAGAUAUCACGAAGAACUCCGAUUGCGAAGGCAGCUCACUGGGGCGCAACUGACGCUGAAGCUCGAAAGCGCGGGUAUCGAACAGGAUUAGAUACCCUGGUAGUCCGCGCGGUAAACGUUGGAUGCCCGCUGUUGGGCCAACUGGUUCAGCGGCCAAGCGAAAGCAUUAAGCAUCCCACCUGGGGAGUACGCCGGCAACGGUGAAACUCAAAGGAAUUGACGGGGGCCCGCACAAGCGGAGGAACAUGUGGUUUAAUUCGAUGAUACGCGAGGAACCUUACCCGGGCUUGAAUUGCGGAGGAAGGAUUUGGAGACAAUGACGCCCUUCGGGGCCUCUGUGAAGGUGCUGCAUGGUUGUCGUCAGCUCGUGCCGUGAGGUGUCGGCUUAAGUGCCAUAACGAGCGCAACCCCUCUCCAUAGUUGCCAUCAGGUGAAGCUGGGCACUCUGUGGACACUGCCACCGUAAGGUGCGAGGAAGGUGGGGAUGACGUCAAAUCAGCACGGCCCUUACGUCCGGGGCUACACACGUGUUACAAUGGCAGGUACAGAGAGCCGGUCGUAUGCAAAUACGAUCCAAUCCUUAAAGCCUGUCUCAGUUCGGACUGGGGUCUGCAACCCGACCCCACGAAGCUGGAUUCGCUAGUAAUCGCGCAUCAGCCAUGGCGCGGUGAAUACGUUCCCGGGCCUUGUACACACCGCCCGCCAAGCCAUGAAAGCCGGGGGCGCCUGAAGUCCGUGACCGCAAGGAGCGGCCUAGGGCGAAACUGGUAAUUGGGGCUAAGUCGUAACAAGGUA